GGUGAACGCUGGCGGCGUGCCUAACACAUGCAAGUCGAGCGGUGCAGUUUGAAGCUUCGGUGGAAAGCUGCAGUAGCGGCGGACGGGUGAGGAAAACGUAGGAACGUGCCCCUUGGAGUUGGAUAGCCACGGGAAACUGUGGGUAAACCGACAUAGACUCGAGAGAGUAAAGGCCGAAAGGUGCCAAGGGAGCGGCCUGCGGCCCAUCAGGUAGUUGGUAGUGUAAAGGACUACCAAGCCGACGACGGGUAGCCGGUCUGAGAGGAUGGCCGGCCACAAGGGCACUGAGAGACGGGCCCUACUCCUACGGGAGGCAGCAGUGGGGGAUUUUGGACAAUGGGCGAAAGCCUGAUCCAGCGACGCCGCGUGGAGGACGAAGCCCUUCGGGGUGUAAACUCCUUUUCUCAGGGAAAAAGGAUGAUGGUACCUGAGGAAUAAGCCCCGGCUAACUACGUG
rnacentral:rRNA from 1 species